AACGAACGCUGGCGGCAUGCCUAACACAUGCAAGUCGAACGAGAUCUUCGGGUCUAGUGGCGCACGGGUGCGUAACGGGUGGGAAUCUGCCCUUUGGUUCGGAAUAACAGUUGGAAACGACUGCUAAUACCGGAUGAUGACGAAAGUCCAAAGAUUUAUCGCCAGAGGAUGAGCCCACGUAGGAUUAGCUAGUUGGUGUGGUAAAGGCGCACCAAGGCGACGAUCCUUAGCUGGUCUGAGAGGAUGAUCAGCCACACUGGGACUGAGACACGGCCCAGACUCCUACGGGAGGCAGCAGUGGGGAAUAUUGGACAAUGGGCGAAAGCCUGAUCCAGCAAUGCCGCGUGAGUGAUGAAGGCCUUAGGGUUGUAAAGCUCUUUUACCCGGGAUGAUAAUGACAGUACCGGGAGAAUAAGCUCCGGCUAACUCCGUGCCAGCCGCCGCGGUAA
rnacentral:rRNA from 1 species